rnacentral:tRNA from 1 species
GCGGAAGUGGUGGAACUUGGUAGACACGCUACUUUGAGGGGGUAGUGGGCGCAAGCCUGUGGGGGUUCAAGUCCCCCCUUCCGCACCA